rnacentral:rRNA from 1 species
CGCGGCCUAUCAGCUUGUUGGCGAGGUAAAGGCUCACCAAGGCAUUGACGGGUAGCUGGUCUGAGAGGACGAUCAGCCACACUGGGACUGAGACACGGCCCAGACUCCUGCGGGAGGCAGCAGUGGGGAAUCUUGCGCAAUGGGCGAAAGCCUGACGCAGCAGCGCCGCGUGGGGGAUGAAGGCUCUCGGGUUGUAAACCCCUUUCAGCAGGGACGAAAUUGACGGUACCUGUAGAAGAAGCCCCGGCCAACUACGUGCCAGCAGCCGCGGUAACACGUAGGGGGCGAGCGUUGUCCGGAAUUAUUGGGCGUAAAGGGCUCGUAGGCGGUUCGGUAAGUCAGAUGUGAAAGGUUGGGGCUCAACCCUGAGACUGCGUUUGAUACUGCCGUGACUAGAGUCCGGUAGAGGAGUGUGGAAUUCCUGGUGUAGCGGUGAAAUGCGCAGAUAUCAGGAGGAACACCGACGGCGAAGGCAGCACUCUGGGCCGGUACUGGCGCUGAGGAGCGAAAGCGUGGGUAGCAAGCAGGAUUAGAUACCCUGGUAGUCCACGCCGUAAACGUUGGGCACUAGGUGUGGGACCUUAUCAACGGGUUCCGUGCCGUAGCUAACGCAUUAAGUGCCCCGCCUGGGGAGUACGG